rnacentral:lncRNA from 1 species
CUGUUGUCCGCUGUCCUGUCACGGAAUCUUAGAAUCAUGAGGGUUGGAAAAGACCUCUAUGAUCCUCUCGUACAAUCGUCCACCUACCGCCAAUACUGCCCACUAACCGUGUCCCUCAGUGAUGCAUCAUAUCUCCACGGUUCUUGAAUGCCUCCAGGGACGGUGCCUCCUGAGGCAGCCUGUUCCAAUGUAUCGCCACUCUUCCUGAGGAGACAUUUUUCCUGAUGUUCAAUCUGACUCCUCACUCCUGAGCCCUCUUCCUUCCCCAAGGCCCCAGAGGUGAUAGGGGACCAGGGCUGCCUACUACCAAAGUGCCACAGGUUGGUUGUGGUGGUGCAGGUGCUUUAUGUGUGGGGCAGGUGAAUGAGGGCCCAAUUCGUGUCACACCAAAGGGAGUGGGAGAAAAGUCAAGGGAAGAGGUGGGGUCUUUUACUGGAGCAACAGAUAAGCACACACUUCGAGGGAAGACCAGGCCUCUGCUUUCCAGCAAACACCCUCCAGAGCUGUAAGUGAAGUGGCAGCAUUCACGGCUAAGCUGAAAGUAAUUGUGCUAAUAUUUUAAUGGCCUACCUGCCACUGAAAAUGAUUGAACACCCGACAAAUGAUGAUCAGGAACCAAGGCAAGAUGACCACCUUCAGUGGGUACAACGGCGGCCAUGUGCUCCUGCGGCAGGAGGGAGCAGAGUGGUCUACAGCUCCUGGCCCUGCAGAGCCCAUACUUCUGUUAUUCAACAAAAAGCUGCAGGUUCCCCUUGGGAUUCUAGUAGAACUGAGCUUAAAAGUGUGCUCUUGAGGAUCAGCCCCGGGAGCUGAGAGAAGUGCUCCCUCAGAGAGAUCUGGCAGUUCUACUUGUUGCUGUCAGCACUUGUAGCUAUGUAAGUCCAUGUACUCUUCUCAUCUGUGAGCAGCUGUACUGGAAGAAGCACAGUGGGUCCCAGGGAACGCAGGAGAGGGGCCAGAAGCUCUGACGUGGUGGGGACUGCCUGAUCUGGCAAGCAGCGGGAGGUACAGUGUGAAGUUUCUGGCGUAGGCAUAACUUGAGUGUGUUUGACACCUGGCAGUCCACAGGGAAUGUGCUUCACAUAGCAACAGAGAGAUGCAGAGGAGGGUGCUGGAUGCUGGGGCUGGCUGAGAACUGCUGUGGGAAAACUUUAUUGAAGGUAGAAUGGUCUUUCAGCACAGGAAGUUCUCAGGAAGCUCUCAAUCAUUUCCUGAGGUGGGAUGGAGCUGACCGCAUGUUCCUGCUGAGAAUGCAUAUUCAGCAAGGAGGUAAUUUUGUGGCUGUUCCACAUCCACAGUGAACUCAGAUGUGCUCCCACACGUGGAGGAAGAAAAGGAGAACAUGUCUGCCUGUGCUGCAUCCCUUUCUCUCACCCCAGCAUCAUCAUUAAGGGUGCACCAGCCAUGGGAGGGCACCCCAUGAGCUCACUGACAGAACAGAUGCUGUGUCUCCUUGCCGUGAUCCCCACAUUUGCGUCACUCUGUGCUUAGUGAAGUGGCUUUAAGCAAACUUGUGCUAAAGCUUUCCCACCACAGCAGAGUGAAGCUCGCUGAUUCUUCUCAGGCAUUUUCCAUAUUUCACUGGCCAGUGCUUGGUACAGCAAGUUCGGUAAAUGUUUGUAAAUCAGUCUUCAUGAUAAUACUGUUGUUUAUUUUUAGCUUGUUCCCACAGAGCUCUAUGAUCUAAUCCGUGCUCAGACUCCACUGUAAUAAGCUAAGGAAACCGAGCUUCUUCCGUCUUUCUGUCGAGGAGAAAUUUUCCAGACAGUUUUGUAGCUCUUCUCACAAAUCAUGAUGAGAGCAUCCUUUUCAAUUUCUCCUUCGUUGUGGCUGCAUUAAAAAGAUUGAUCCUGGUUGCAUCUCCAUUGAAGUGGAGGGAAGGACACAGUCACCUUUAUUACGCUGUCAGAGAAGCAAAAAGACUUCUGUCUCCUCUUUCCAGGCCCUCGUUGCUGCUGCAGCUGUCAUGGAGAAGACUGUGGUGUUGAAACUUAAACACACAGGUUGCUCUGAAAGUAAUGCCUCAUAUUUUUUUUUCCAUGGAAACCACAAGAGAUACAAAGAGCACAAUAAUACCAUUUAAUAGAGCAAAUUCUCAGCUACAAAGAACUGUUUUUCAGCAUUGUCACUACCAGUAGCUAUGCAUUUUUGCCAGCAAUGAACAAGACCCUGCAUACUGUACUCCUAAAAAUCUGCACUGGUGGAGGUGACCCACUGUCACUGUUGCCACUGCCGAAAUGCACCACCCACCAUCUCAUUGUGCUCUCAUCCACUGUUUGGUCUCCAUAAACAUUCAGCAAGCGUUGAUGAGUGUCAAUGGGUGCCAUAUUUUCUGCACGGAGGAAUUCAGUGACACCUUUGCUUCAUAUGCGCUUCCAUGUCAGACGCCAUUUGGUCAGACAGCUCUGCUGCUGCCAUCUGUCACAUGGCAACAAGAGUAAUGGAAUAUUGGUGGGAAGGUUCAACCUCUGCUGCUGUACCACCAAGAUCCACUUCUGACAACAUCAUGGACUGAUAUAAUACAAUAGGAGCCAUUACUUUUGGAACAGCCCUUGUACAUAAAAAGAGUAACUAUCAAAGAUCAGAAAGACAGUAUUUUGUCCUCAAUUUUUACGCCAGAGUGCAAGAGGAAUUUCUUUUGGUAGGUAGCACAUGUCAGGUUAAGUUUCCACUGUAAAUUUGACUGAGGUGCUCACAGUGAUCGCUUAAGAUAAUAUACUCAUUUAAGUCCUAAUGCUCCAUUUUUCUGUUUGGCUGUAGCCAGUUCUUCAGCUGGAGUAAACAGGAAAGAAAGAAAAUGGUUCUCUUACAUGUAUUGCUGUUUGCUGCUAUUUCCUGCUCUCAAGCCACCAUAUCUUACCUUUUUUGUUGAGCUCUAUCAGAGUUUUCCAAGUAGAUUUAGAAUCCAGAAAGCUUUAUCUGGAUUGGAGAUAGUGUUAGUACAAAUCUUAGGUGAUAUGGAAGCUUAGAAUUUAAUAAAAAACUCUCAUCACAUAAUAAUAGCUAAAAGAAUGGAUUGGAAAGCCAGAAUUUUCAGAGCCUCACAAGGAAAAAAUAAAAUAAAAUAAAAUAAAAUAAAAAUAAUAAAUCAAUUUUUCAUUUUCAAAUAUUUAAGGAUUUUCUUUUCUUAAACUGUACCAUUAAAGCAGCAAUCCCAUUAAUUUAGUGAUACAGAUUCACCAUUCUUCUAUCCUCUUGAAGACUCUGCAUUAACAUUAGUUGUAAACCCUUGCCGAGGCUUUCAGUACUGGAGAUAUGUUUCAACCUGAUUUAUGGCCAGUUUUUUGACCAAAUGAAAAUGCAUCCUGUAAUGUAAAACAUAUUUCUAAAACAGUUGUCAUAUUCCUUAUACCAGAAACUGAAUAAAUUUAUAUCAGAGCCAAGUACAAGAAAAUAAUUACAUCAGUUACAUUUUUCUCCUGUCAUACAGUUAAGAUCCUUUCUGCAGUAUAUCUGGAUCUCUCCAUUUUCCUUCUCACACGGUAGACCUCCACUCAGUAGUCUCUACGUAGCAGUGCUGCAUGCUUCAUUAAGUUUCUGCAUAAACAUGAGUGCAUGCUUAUGCUUUAUUGACUUAAGGGGAACUGGAUGGCAGUGUUGAAACUAAGCAUGUGUUCGGGUUGAACUGAGACUCAGGCUAACUUGGGGAUGCACUGCUAACAGCAAGUAGUGGUCAAGUUUUGCAGCUCUCACAUUUUCCAACAGCCAAAAACACUAACCUCACUGCUCCAAAGCUAGCCUUUAUCAGUACUUCCUAAAUCACUGUAUUGCAACCAAAAAUGUAAUGACAGCCCUGAAACAUAACUAACAAAUAUCACAGAAUCAUUUAGGCUUGGAAAGGCCUUGGAGAUAUCAAGUCCAACCAUAAUAUUUCUAUCGGCUUUCUCUGAACCUUUUCCUGUCUGUACUGUUGAAGAUGAUCACGUGUGAUGGGAUCAUUUAGUACCUAAAGGGGAGCUAUAAAAAAAGGGGGGGAUAGACUCUUCAGUGGGGUCUGUUGUGAUAGGAAAAAGGGAAAUUGUUUCAAAUUAAAAGCAGGGAUACUUAGUCUCGAUAUAAGGAAAAGUAUGAUAGUGAAGCACUACAACAGGUUGCCCAGAGAGGUGGUAGAUACCUCAUCCAUGGGGAUGUUCAAGGUCAGGUAUGUGCAACCUGAUCUAUCUGUAGGUGUCCAUGUUCAUUGCAGGGGAGUUGGACUAGAUGAGCUUUAAAGAUCCCUUCCAACUCAAUUGAUUCUAGGAUCCAGUUAUCAUUCUGUGGCAAAACAUUAAUUUUCACUCUUUCCCUCACAGUUUCUCUGCGCUGAGCAGAGGAACUAUCACGGAACUAUCACAGCUCCAAAGCCAAGUAAUGCCAAAUUAUUGUCUGUACACAGUGUUUUUAACCAGCUAAACUCAAUAGCAGACUUCUUAUGCAAUCGGUUUUAGGACUCAUGCAUGUCCUUCCACAAAUUCCCUUCUCCUUUCCCUGUUCUUCACAUCUUCUCAUUGCAGAACGCUAGCAUGACUAGAAGAAAUGGUUGACUCUAACUCAGAGCAAUGAACAGCAUCAAGAUUUCAAAUUUGUUCUUGCACAAGAAAACACAUUAACAAACCUGUGUGAAAUGUAUCUCUCACAGGCAAACCUUUAAAGACAACUACAGUGUGAAGCCACACCAUUUUGUAUUGAGGAAAUUCAAUCAAGAGUUCUUUGGUUUAACAUCUGUUAUCAACAAGAUAUAACACAGAGGAAAGAGAGCCUAAACAAAGAGGAAAACUCAAUAUUUAAUCUUCCAGUUUUCUAAGAUGGAAUUCAUAAAAGCCUACCAUCACCCAAGGAACACCCUUAGAAUACCCAUUUGGUAUUCACCAAAUACAGCUUCUUUGGUUUUAAGUACUUGUAGAAACAUUGGCAGCUGUUUUCUGACUGAGCAUUUGGCAAUUGCAUACUGGAAGCUGUAAUUUUCACUUGCCUCCCUCAUCACAAGCUUCCAGAAUCUGAUGACCAACACUUCCACCCAUCUUGUGACCAAGAUUUCCAAAAACUUUGACACUGGAUCUCUCAGCUGGGCUCCCUAAGCAGCUGUUCCGAUGCCUUCCCACUCUUUCUGAAAAGAAAUUUUCCAAACUGAAACCAAUCUGAGCUUGGUCCACAUAUUUAAGGAAACUAGUCUAUAGGAGGAGGAGACAGUAUUUCUGAGAAAACAACAGCAACAACAACAAAAACACAAGACAAGAACAACAACAACAAAAGCCAUUUGAACUCAGGUUCAAAAAAACUUCUGUGGAAGACCUGUGAAGACAAAAACAAAAACUAGCUGAUCCUGUAACUCAUAUUAAAGCACUUUCUAAGCAUAUGAAUGUCUGGUACUUUAAAACACAGUCAUUAAGUUGAAUACUUAUUUUUACACAACAGCCAUAUAACAUCAUGUAUUACAUUGCCUCAAUAUAUUUGACGUUGGCAGCAAAAAUGCAAUAGAUAUACAUACCUUUGUGCAUACACUCUUAACUGAAUUUGCUUGCCAGCAUUGUCCCAGUCCUGUGUGAUGUGAUGGUAGUUGGCUAAUCAGCCAGCUCUCUCCCAUGAUGCAAUUUACAACACAGACUUAAUGAGUGAGUAUGUUGGAUGUUUCAAACCAGUUAGCGUCAGUAGGUUUCAAAAGGCAUUGCCCCAGUCUUUAUCUUUUCCCCAUAAUCUUCUUAAUAACCUCACGAGUACUAUAAAUAAAGGAGGAGAAUGGUGAAAUUGUGACUUUUCACUGAAG